rnacentral:rRNA from 1 species
GGAUCCAGACUUUGAUCCUGGCUCAGGAUGAACGCUAGCUACAGGCUUAACACAUGCAAGUCGAGGGGCAGCGGGAUUGAAGCUUGCUUCAAUUGCCGGCGACCGGCGCACGGGUGAGUAACGCGUAUCCAACCUCCGUACACUCAGGGAUAGCCUUUCGAAAGAAAGAUUAAUACCUGAUGGUAUGAUGAGAUUGCAUGAUAGCAUCAUUAAAGAUUUAUCGGUGUACGAUGGGGAUGCGUUCCAUUAGGUAGUAGGCGGGGUAACGGCCCACCUAGCCAACGAUGGAUAGGGGUUCUGAGAGGAAGGUCCCCCACAUUGGAACUGAGACACGGUCCAAACUCCUACGGGAGGCAGCAGUGAGGAAUAUUGGUCAAUGGACGAGAGUCUGAACCAGCCAAGUAGCGUGAAGGAUGAAGGUCCUACGGAUUGUAAACUUCUUUUAUAAGGGAAUAAACCCUCCCACGUGUGGGAGCUUGUAUGUACCUUAUGAAUAAGCAUCGGCUAACUCCGUGCCAGCAGCCGCGGUAAUACGGAGGAUGCGAGCGUUAUCCGGAUUUAUUGGGUUUAAAGGGAGCGCAGACGGGUCGUUAAGUCAGCUGUGAAAGUUUGGGGCUCAACCUUAGAAUUGCAGUUGAUACUGGCGUCCUUGAGUGCGGUUGAGGUGUGCGGAAUUCGUGGUGUAGCGGUGAAAUGCUUAGAUAUCACGAAGAACUCCGAUUGCGAAGGCAGCACACUAAUCCGUAACUGACGUUCAUGCUCGAAAGUGUGGGUAUCAAACAGGAUUAGAUACCCUGGUAGUCCACACGGUAAACGAUGGAUACUCGCUGUUGGCGAUAUACUGUCAGCGGCUUAGCGAAAGCGUUAAGUAUCCCACCUGGGGAGUACGCCGGCAACGGUGCAACUCAAAUGAAUUGACGG